rnacentral:misc_RNA from 1 species
GAUGAAGAACGUAGCGAAAUGCGAUACGUAAUGUGAAUUGCAAAUUCAGUGAAUCAUCGAGUCUUUGGACGCACAUUGCGCCCCCUGGUAUUCCGGGGGGCAUGCCUGUCCGAGCGUCAUUGCUGCCCUCAAGCACGGCUUGUGUGUUGGGCCCCGUCCUCCGAUCCCGGGGGACGGGCCCGAAAGGCAGCGGCGGCACCGCGUCCGGUCCUCGAGCGUAUGGGGCUUUGUCACCCGCUCUGUAGGCCCGGCCGGCGCUUGCCGAUCAACCCAAAUUUUUAUCCAGGUUGACCUCGGAUCAGGUAGGGAUACCCGCUGAACUUAAGCAUAUCAAUAAGCGGAGGA